ACUGUUACAUCUUUGCAUGCCCCUUUGGUCAUUUUAUUGUUGGUUCAGGUAAUAUAUUGUUUAUAUGUUUGCUGGCCUAACAAAUCUUUGGUCAUUUUAUUGAUCCAUUCCAUUCACUCACAUACUUUUGGUUUUUCUUUGGGUCAGAUGAUUUUACAUAAGUUUGUGUGAGUUACCAUUUGUUUGAGACAUUUUGCAGGUUAGAGGAUCCAUGCCUUUUAUGUGGGAGCAAAUUGUUGAUCUGACCUACAAGCCCAAGUUUGAGAUUGCCCAACCUGAAGAAGCUGCGAGGAUAGCUGAGCGUCACUUUUUGGACCU